CACAUGCAUACAUACAUAUGCACAUAUAUAUGUAUGUAAAUCUCACGUACCUUGUCUUCUUUAUAGUGUCUUCUGGGUGCAAGAUUCUGUCUUCAACUUAGUAAUAACCACAUCUUACGGCAGCCGUCAGCAAUCCACUCACAAACAUCUACAUCUCACUUUCAAGAAACAUCCAAGCAGCGCCAGUUCUUUAUAAAUAUUGUAGAAUACAUGUGCGAAUGGCUACGAUUGCGCUGUUACAUUUCGGUGUUAUUGAUUAGGACCAGUGUUGCCAGUUGGCUUGAGACCAUGGUAUAUCUAUAAAAGAUAGUCAUACAGCUAUUAAGGUUUCGCGGUUCAGAAUUUUAAUCCAAAGUUGUCCAAUUAAGAGUGUGCCCAUACCUCAAACUAUCGAUGCAUAUUGUGAUCGAUAUGUAAGAUGGCGAUGUUGAUUUCUGUUUAUUUAUUCACCCAGAAGACAUGCAGGAAAACAAUAAGUACGCCAACGGGAAUGGCAGUAAUAUUGAGGGCAUUAUGCGACCAAUUACUUCCAUGGAAAAACCUAUGCUUAAGUCGGACUUGGCAAAAGCCAUGAGGCAACUGGGCAUGCGCGGCAUACGGCCUCUGCGCAGCUACACGUGAGCGCAUCUUCGCAAGAGGGAGGGUGCCGGCGCUUUCAUUGUGAAUCCCCCAAGCAGCGGACGCUCGUUGGAGUAUGCAUUCGAUAUUCGAUAUGGAACAGGGACGGGACCCCUUUUCCUGGUUCUAAUGCCAGAGGCAAAGCGAAUGCAAGGAGUCGCAAGCUUUUUCCACGUAUUUAUACCAACAAAAUAUCGCCGAGGGUGACCAAACGGAAGCAGGUAUGAUGUUGAUGUUGAUCCGCAUUCAACAUACCGUCGACGGACUACCCAAUGCCUAUUCACGUGUGAUUCUUCAGCGAGCCCUGGAAGCACUGUAGAAAAGAUCUGGCAAUUUCUUCAAAAUAUGCAAGAAUGUAUAAACAUCAAGUACUCGUACCUACGUUUCCACGAAUAAGAAUAUACGAAGAAAUAAAGGCCAA
rnacentral:sRNA from 1 species